AAGCAAAUACCUUUUAAAAAAAAAAUAGAAAGGUUAUCUGAUUGGUUGCUAUGGGCAACUACUCCACUCUUCCUCUACACAGGGUUUGAAAUAUUUCCACCAUGACCCUUGGAGAUGUGCAGAUUUUUCCAAUUCGGCACAGAACUGGACCUAAAUUGGUACGGAAUUGCAGUGGAAAUUCUGCUACCAAAAAUUCAGUACGGAAUUCUGGUUCUGGCCAGAAACAAAGGACUGCCCCUUUUGGACCAUUUGCAAACCAAGCAGUAUCAGCAAUAGAACAGAGAGCUGACAGAGACCCAAAGAGACAAAAGUGAUCCGUGAUACCUGAGUCUAACGAAGAAACUGAUAUACACUAUACAUGAUGUGACUUGUCAAGUCCACGCUCAACCCAAUGUUCUACAAGGAUGCAGUUACAUGUCCCUUGGUUAGCAGUUGACUUGCUUGGAUGCCUUUAACUGGAGCUGCACAAACAAUAAAUUCCUCUAUGGAUAGCUGAUUUUCAUACGGCACUGACCGAACAUCCACAUGAAGGAAAUCAAUACUAUUAGAGAGAUCAAGACCAUUGAAGUUCAACUUGAGGCAACCAUAAAUCCUGAUGACUUCUCAAAAACAAAAAAACACACAAAAAAUUGUACGAGACAAAGAGGAUUUCUUGCAAAAUCGAGUCUACAAGUGGCAGGAUCCUAUUUCUUCUCAACGUCCAUACUACUCCAGGGGCCCAUCACAGGACUCCUAUUCAUCCAGCUCAGAUGGCACUGAUUUCUACUAUCAACGAGGUCCCUUCGGCGGCAGACGUCAUCCCCAGAGGAGACGUGGAGGUGGGGCCAUCCUCAAUCCAAUGGACGGUGGUGUCACUACUAGAUCACAGGCUCGGUAACUGGGAAACAUCCGAAUCAAUGCUUUGAUGACUGUUUUCCAUUUCAAUCCGGUAAGCCCCAGGAUUUAAUAGAAAUAGACAACAUAUCCGCUCUGAUGUGCCUAUGUUAUCUGUACCAUGUAAUACUUGCCUUUUGCUAUUUCAUACCUGUCUAUAUGUUACUUUGUACAUUACUUUCUGACCUACAAAUCUGUCAUUAUAAUAAUUUUUA